CUUUUGUGGAGCUGGAGUUCAUCGGAAGUUCUACAGUGCUUGCGCCAGAAAGACGUCGGUGCCUCGGUACCUUUGAGACGAAGGAGCGUUGGCCAAGUCUUUUUGAAAGGCUAUGCAGAUUCUGGAGGCAUCCCUACAUCGAGCAGGAACCUGCUGCACUGCUGGAAGCUGGACAGCACGACAAUAAAGCACGUGAUCUGUGUGCUUUCUCAAAGGUAGACAUCGGCGACGGUGUAUAUGUUGAAAAGGGCCUGCUGAAGAGGCUGCGCCUGGAUGCUAACAACUCGGGCUUUCAGUUCGCGGGGGGCCUCCUUAAGGCUCCUUUUACAAAAGAAGAGGUUGAAGGGAGGCGCUACACAUGGAUGCGCAGCGAUUGUUUGUGACAGCGUCACUGCUGGCAGGCCUGGCCUGCCUUUUCGCUUCGUUCUGGGUCUUCCACGUUAUCUACUCGAAAAAGGCCCACAGGAUUUUGACAUUUAUUGAGCACUGCUUUCUGGAUUUUUGCUACACAAAGCCGCAGGUGAAAGCAUUGGAUUUACUCAAUUUUUACAAGAACUAUUGCUAGGCAAAAAAAUUUUCAGAUGCAUAUCCUCAAGAAAGUUUCUGUAAAAAUUAUUUUGCCUAACAAAAGCACUCGUGGGUUCUGUGGCUGGCAGGUUGCCCAAGCCUUGUAGCACAGUACUUGCUUUAAAGGUACACGAAAGAGAAAAUUUAUUUGAGCUUUAUUAAAUCAUUCUUCUACAACACCGAAAAACAACUCCCACCAUGAGAAUUGGCUUGAAAAGCCAGAUAACUUGCAAAAACGAAAACUGGUGUCGCCACCACGACCUUAUAGUUCCUGCACCAGCUUGCUGUGAUAUGGAAUUUGACGGUGUCUGUUCGGGUCUAGCUAAUGUUCUACUGGCCAAUAUUGAUGAAUUCUGUUGUAAAGGUGUCAAAGAAUAUACUUAGUUGAAGUAUGACUCCACACUGAUGU